UACAGAGGGUGCGAGCGUUAAUCGGAAUUACUGGGCGUAAAGCGCACGUAGGUGGCGACGUAAGUCGGGUGUGAAAGCCCCGGGCUCAACCUGGGAAUUGCAUUCGAGACUGCAUUGCUGGAGUACGGAAGAGGAGGGCGGAAUUCCCGGUGUAGUGGUGGAAUGCGUAGAUAUCGGGAGGAACACCAGUGGCGAAGGCGGUUGCCUGGAGCUUUGCUGACGCUGAGGAGCGAAAGCCAGGGGAGCAAACGGG
rnacentral:rRNA from 1 species